UAGGGGAACACACCACCACACCUCCACCUACAUCCACACCUCCACCUACAUCCACACCUCCUCCUGUUCUUUCUGUGUUGUUCUUUGUUGGAUCAGUCUGUGUUGUGGUUCUACUGGUGUUACUGGUUAUGCUGGUGAGACGAUGUGUUCACGGGAAAGUUGAAAGUUUUCACAAUUUGUAAUAUUUUGUUUAGAUCCUGUGGACAUGACAUCAUUUGGUCCUUUUAGAUUCUUACAUAAUAUCGUUUUGUUUACUUUGGUUUAUCUGAGCAGAUAAAGAAGAUGGAGACGAUAAUCAGACGCUUUUAUUCUCUUUGUAAAACAGCUGAUCAAAGUUUUCUCAGACAGAAAAUAUUGAACACAGACUGUCUUUGUUUUUCCUCUGUACUGAGUGUUUGCAGGAUGCUGUGUGCCCAAAUGAUGCUCGUCUGCAUUUCUGUUGGACCACAUCUGUCCCACUGAACUCUCAGCAGUGCUGUCACUGAGCUAAAACAUCACAAACAGCACAGACGUGUCUGAUAUCUGGUUUUAGUACAAACACAAGUUAAGAGGUUGAAUUUGUUAACAUGAGACAAAAAAGGGCAAUUUAAAGUGUUUCUGCAGGUAAAACCACAGCAGCUUCCUUUAGACUGGAGUUAGUGUGAAGCUGAUGAGCUUCUCACUGCAGUGUGUUCUGGUUUGGUUAAUAAUUGUGUUCAUGCUGUGAGAACAUGUUUGCUUUGAGCUCUGUGGUGAAGACUGUCAGUGUGCACUGGAAGAAGGUGCAGCUUUGUGGUCGUCCACCUGCCUUUUUCUCUGAAACUAAACCCAGUUCUUUGUGGUCACUCUGAGUUAGGAUGGAAAAAACUGUGGUUUAUAAAAACGCUACACUUAAUAUCUUCAAAAGCUGCAUUAAAACAACAAAUAUUUCUUUCACUGUAGUCUAAUAACAUCACAGUACUGUUGCAGUUGUACCUGCAGUAAUUUUAAUGUGUUUAUUGUACAGAGACUGAUUCAGCUGUGAUCUACUCAGCAGUGAGAACUGAAGACGUCAGUCAUGGACAAACAACCAUCAGAAUAAGGAGGCCCAGACUUUAAACCAGAGCCAGACGUCGUCUACUCUUCACUGAAGUAGUCCACCAGUCCAACCACUGAUGUCCAGCUGCUGGUCUCUAACUGGUCCCCCCAGCACCUCAGACCAGAGGACAGCCACAUGUUACAGAGAAUUUUUAUAUGUUUUAUGUCUUUUUAUCACUGAAUUAGACUCUGAUGACCCAGAACUCCUUACUGGAAGUCAGUUCAUUGACUUGAUGUUUGUUGCCUUUGUUCCCACAGCAGUGAUAAAUAAACCUUUGCUCUCUGAUUUUUUUUUCCUUCUGUGGUUCUGUGGGUUUGAAAAAGGCAUCUGAUGGAGAAUUUGAGUUGUUCCGGUUUAUUUGUGGCUAAAUGACUCUCUUCACUGAAGAAAACAAAGAAUAAAGACCUCAACCUAAAAACA